UCUAUUUUGGCAGAUAAGUGCAAUGGAUUUAGAAUCCUUAAAUGGGAGGAAUAACCUUUCAAAUAGAA
rnacentral:tRNA from 1 species